AUUGAACGCUGGCGGCAUGCCUUACACAUGCAAGUCGAACGGCAGCGCGGGAGCAAUCCUGGCGGCGAGUGGCGAACGGGUGAGUAAUAUAUCGGAACGUGCCCAGUAGUGGGGGAUAGCCCGGCGAAAGCCGGAUUAAUACCGCAUACGACCUACGGGUGAAAGGGGGGGAUCGCAAGACCUCUCGCUAUUGGAGCGGCCGAUAUCAGAUUAGGUAGUUGGUGGGGUAAAAGACUACCAAGCCUGCGAUCUGUAGUUGGUCUGAGAGGACGACCAGCCAACCUGGGACUGAGAAGCGGCCCAGACUCCUACGGGAGGCAGCAGUGGGGAAUUUUGGACAAUGGGGGCAACCCUGAUCCAGCAAUGCCGCGUGCAGGAAGAAGGCCUUCGGGUUGUAAACUGCUUUUGUCAGGGAAGAAAUCCCUUGGGUUAAUACCUCGGGGGGAUGACGGUACCUGAAGAAUAAGCACCGGCUAACUACGUGCCAGCCGCCGCCGUAA
rnacentral:rRNA from 1 species